rnacentral:rRNA from 1 species
GCUUGGUGGAUCAGUGGCGAACGGGUGAGUAACACGUGAGCAACCUGCCCUGGACUCUGGGAUAAGCGCUGGAAACGGCGUCUAAUACUGGAUAUGAGCUCUCAUCGCAUGGUGGGGGUUGGAAAGAUUUUUCGGUUUGGGAUGGGCUCGCGGCCUAUCAGCUUGUUGGUGAGGUAAUGGCUCACCAAGGCGUCGACGGGUAGCCGGCCUGAGAGGGUGACCGGCCACACUGGGACUGAGACACGGCCCAGACUCCUACGGGAGGCAGCAGUGGGGAAUAUUGCACAAUGGGCGCAAGCCUGAUGCAGCAACGCCGCGUGAGGGAUGACGGCCUUCGGGUUGUAAACCUCUUUUGGUAGGGAAGAAGCCUUCGGGUGACGGUACCUGCAGAAAAAGCGCCGGCUAACUACGUGCCAGCAGCCGCGGUAAUACGUAGGGCGCAAGCGUUAUCCGGAAUUAUUGGGCGUAAAGAGCUCGUAGGCGGUCUGUCGCGUCUGCUGUGAAAUUCCGAGGCUCAACCUCGGGCUUGCAGUGGGUACGGGCAGACUAGAGUGCGGUAGGGGAGAUUGGAAUUCCUGGUGUAGCGGUGGAAUGCGCAGAUAUCAGGAGGAACACCGAUGGCGAAGGCAGAUCUCUGGGCCGUUACUGACGCUGAGGAGCGAAAGGGUGGGGAGCAAACAGGCUUAGAUACCCCUGGUAGUCCACCCCGUAAACGUUGGGAACUAGUUGUGGGGUCC